rnacentral:rRNA from 1 species
CCUACGGGUGGCUGCAGUGAGGAAUAUUGGUCAAUGGACGAGAGUCUGAACCAGCCAAGUAGCGUGAAGGAUGACUGCCCUAUGGGUUGUAAACUUCUUUUAUAUGGGAAUAAAAUGUUCCACGUGUGGGAUUUUGUAUGUACCAUAUGAAUAAGGAUCGGCUAACUCCGUGCCCGCAGCCGCGGUAAUACGGAGGAUCCGAGCGUUAUCCGGAUUGUAUGGGUUUAAAGGGUGGGUAGAUGGGUUGUUAAGUCAGUUGUGAAAGUUUGUGGCGCAAAAGUAAAAUUGCAAUUGAUACUGGCAGUCUUGAGUACAGUUGAGGUAGGCGGAAUGCGUGGUGUAGCGGUGAAAUGCUUAGAUAUCACGAAGAACCCCGAUUGCGAAGGCAGCUUACUAAACUGUGACUGACAUUGAUGCUCGAAAGUGUGGGUAUCAAACAGGAUUAGAUACCCUUGUAGUC